AAAGGCCUUGGUCCCAAAUGAAGUCGUUAGCAAAUAUCUCUUUGCUCUGCUGGGAGUUCUGUUCUCUCACAACAUCUUUCUGAAUUAUCACUCUGUAUUGAGGCAGCAGUUUUAAUCUUUCAAAUGAAGUAUACAAUCUCAGAAGAGGCCAGUGGUUCCACGGGCGGAAGGGAAGGCUGGUUCUACCCUUGUGCUGGGAGAAACAUUAAGAUCAAGAGCACAGCUAUGGGAGUCAGACAGCCUGGAUCUGAAAUUGGUUCCACUACCAGCUAUAGUUAAAUUCUUCAUUGAAGAAUGCAAUGAAAAGCAAGGUGAAAAAGUCAAGGGUGUAUCCAUGUAUCCCACAUUCAGGGUGUGACUGUUUGCAAGCAGAUGUGCCUUCAGAUGGCCCACCAUGUCUGCAGAGUCUACAGAAAAAUGAAAGAUCACUGCAUACCAAGUAUCAUCUCAACUCAGAGACAUCCCUGCCACGCGGCACACAGAUUUAUAACACUGGGCAAAGGUUUCAACAAAUAUGAUUUCUUCACUCCAAAGUCCAUCUAUGUGUAUUGCCUGAAAUACAGAGCAGUGUGUGAUUGUCUGCUAGUCUCUAAUCCCAGGAGCCUUGGCAGCUGAGGCAGGAUGAGUUCCUAAAACUCUGGAGACAGAGAUGGCUCACACAGGCUGGUGCUGUGUAGGGGUGUUCAUGCAAUUUAUUGCUCUUUUUUCAAACUGACAUAGUGUCUACACCAACACAGCCCAGAAAAAAUAAACUAUUGUAAAUGAAAGAUCUAAAA